UUGUCAAAUACCCUCGUCAAAGUCAUUCCUAAUAAGGGCCUUGCGCAGAUCUGAAUACUGAUGCUAAUGGCCGGCUUUUUUAGCUCGUCAAUUCCAUAUGCCCUCAAGGUAUAAAUUCAGUCUACCAGGAUUUUUUUUAUCGACCCACGAACAUUGGUUUUCCGCAUCCCAAAAGACGCAGCCUCGACCAAAGAUUUCAAAUCAAUUUGAAUCUUCUAGAAGAACCCAUUAACCAGGAUCAUUUACUGAUCUCCGUUUACACGUGGAGGAAGACUGGAUCCCGGAACGUCUAUUGAGAUUUUAUCAUUCGUGCUGGCCUUCGGAUUAUUCUCUGUAGCUAUGAUUUUAGCAAUGGCUUUUCACCUCCUGUGCUUUGAAGAAAGAAAGCCGACUGUGAAGGCUGUUUUAAAAAGACACAGCAGACUUAAAAACAUUGCCGACUACACCUUAGUGUGACAUUCAAGCAUGCAAAUUCUCAAAACUGACUAGACAAGGAUAAGUGUGAGAAACUGUACAGCAAAGAGAACUCGUAUAUUGAGACCAUGACAGUGAAAGGGUUAGGCAAAGAAAGGUUCCCGUAGAGAGCAGAAAUGCCGAUCUCCAUGUAAUUAUUUUGAAUUUAUAAAUAUUCAAACAUACUAUUUCAAAUAAAGCG